AUUGAACGCUGGCGGCAUGCCUUACACAUGCAAGUCGAACGGUAACAGGUCUUCGGAUGCUGACGAGUGGCGAACGGGUGAGUAAUACAUCGGAACGUGCCCAGACGUGGGGGAUAACGAGGCGAAAGCUUUGCUAAUACCGCAUACGAUCUAAGGAUGAAAGCAGGGGACCGCAAGGCCUUGCGCGUUUGGAGCGGCCGAUGGCAGAUUAGGUAGUUGGUGGGAUAAAAGCUUACCAAGCCGACGAUCUGUAGCUGGUCUGAGAGGACGACCAGCCACACUGGGACUGAGACACGGCCCAGACUCCUACGGGAGGCAGCAGUGGGGAAUUUUGGACAAUGGGCGAAAGCCUGAGCCAGCAGUGCCGCGUGCAGGAUGAAGGCCUUCGGGUUGUAAACUGCUUUUGUACGGAACGAAAAGGCUCUGGCUAAUACCUGGGGCACAUGACGGUACCGUAAGAAUAAGCACCGGCUAACUACGUGCCAGCCGCCGCCGUAAAAC
rnacentral:rRNA from 1 species